GAACCGAAUUGACUCUGUUCGGUUUGGUUUUCGUUUUGAACAGAAUUCUGCUCAGCCCUAUCUAGGUUUGCAUGUUCUGUGGUAGUUUUCUUGGAUACUAGGAUGGGUGGAGAUAUAGUUUUCAAAUCUCUAUGUUAUAUAUGUUGUCUUGGUUUUGUUGGAUUUAUUGUUUAGGGAAAUAUACAUCUCUUUUCAGUUGGACUUGUUAAAAGUUGGAUUUUGAGAAUAUAUAUUUAUUAUUUCUCUAUAUUUAUAUUUUUCCUUUUCUCAUUGAUGUAGGAAAGCAAAAUUAAUAUUGGG
rnacentral:misc_RNA from 1 species